rnacentral:misc_RNA from 1 species
GCUCCGUAGGUGAACCAGCGGAGGGAUCAUUACAGAGUUCUCGCCAUCGCGGGUAGACCUUGCACACACUGUUAGCGGUACUGUGUUGCUCUGGCGGGCCGCCUGCCCCCGCCCCGCCGCCGGCGCCGGCGGCCGCGCCCCCGCCAGAGGCCCAGCAAACUUUGAAUGCUAUGGUUGUCUGAUUCCUAUAUAAUAAAUAAAACUUUCAACAACGGAUUGCCUGGUGCUUGCAUCGAGGACGAACGCAAUCGAACGGAAGAGCGCCUGACUGAACUCCAC